GAUCAUGGCUCAGAUUGAACGCUGGCGGCAGGCCUAACACAUGCAAGUCGAACGGUAACAGGAAGCAGCUUGCUGCUUUGCUGACGAGUGGCGGACGGGUGAGUAAUGUCUGGGAAACUGCCUGAUGGAGGGGGAUAACUACUGGAAACGGUGGCUAAUACCGCAUAACGUCGCAAGACCAAAGAGGGGGACCUUCGGGCCUCUUGCCAUCAGAUGUGCCCAGAUGGGAUUAGCUUGUUGGUGAGGUAACGGCUCACCAAGGCGACGAUCCCUAGCUGGUCUGAGAGGAUGACCAGCCACACUGGAACUGAGACACGGUCCAGACUCCUACGGGAGGCAGCAGUGGGGAAUAUUGCACAAUGGGCGCAAGCCUGAUGCAGCCAUGCCGCGUGUAUGAAGAAGGCCUUCGGGUUGUAAAGUACUUUCAGCGGGGAGGAAGGUGUUGUGGUUAAUAACCGCAGCAAUUGACGUUACCCGCAGAAGAAGCACCGGCUAACUCCGUGCCAGCAGCCGCGGUAAUACGGAGGGUGCAAGCGUUAAUCGGAAUUACUGGGCGUAAAGCGCACGCAGGCGGUCUGUCAAGUCGGAUGUGAAAUCCCCGGGCUCAACCUGGGAACUGCAUUCGAAACUGGCAGGCUUGAGUCUUGUAGAGGGGGGUAGAAUUCCAGGUGUAGCGGUGAAAUGCGUAGAGAUCUGGAGGAAUACCGGUGGCGAAGGCGGCCCCCUGGACAAAGACUGACGCUCAGGUGCGAAAGCGUGGGGAGCAAACAGGAUUAGAUACCCUGGUAGUCCACGCCGUAAACGAUGUCUACUUGGAGGUUGUGCCCUUGAGGCGUGGCUUCCGGAGCUAACGCGUUAAGUAGACCGCCUGGGGAGUACGGCCGCAAGGUUAAAACUCAAAUGAAUUGACGGGGGCCCGCACAAGCGGUGGAGCAUGUGGUUUAAUUCGAUGCAACGCGAAGAACCUUACCUGGUCUUGACAUCCACAGAACUUUCCAGAGAUGGACUGGUGCCUUCGGGAACUGUGAGACAGGUGCUGCAUGGCUGUCGUCAGCUCGUGUUGUGAAAUGUUGGGUUAAGUCCCGCAACGAGCGCAACCCUUAUCCUUUGUUGCCAGCGAUUAGGUCGGGAACUCAAAGGAGACUGCCAGUGAUAAACUGGAGGAAGGUGGGGAUGACGUCAAGUCAUCAUGGCCCUUACGACCAGGGCUACACACGUGCUACAAUGGCGCAUACAAAGAGAAGCGACCUCGCGAGAGCAAGCGGACCUCAUAAAGUGCGUCGUAGUCCGGAUUGGAGUCUGCAACUCGACUCCAUGAAGUCGGAAUCGCUAGUAAUCGUGGAUCAGAAUGCCACGGUGAAUACGUUCCCGGGCCUUGUACACACCGCCCGUCACACCAUGGGAGUGGGUUGCAAAAGAAGUAGGUAGCUUAACCUUCGGGAGGGCGCUUACCACUUUGUGAUUCAUGACUGGGGUGAAGUCGUAACAAGGUAACCGUAGGGGAACCUGCGGUUGGAUCACCUCCUUACCUUAAAGAAGC
rnacentral:rRNA from 1 species